rnacentral:rRNA from 1 species
GAACGAACGCUGGCGGCAGGCUUAACACAUGCAAGUCGAACGGGUGUAGCAAUACAUCAGUGGCAGACGGGUGAGUAACACGUGGGAACCUUCCUAGGGGUACGGAACAACUCAGGGGAAACUUGAGCUAAAUACCGUAUACGUCCGUAAGGAGAAAGAUUCAUCGCCCCUAGACGGGCCCGCGUCGGAUUAGGUAGUUGGUGGGGUAACGGCCUACCAAGCCUACGAUCCGUAGCUGAUCUGAGAGGGANGAUCAGCCACACUGGGACUGAGACACGGCCCAGACUCCUACGGGAGGCAGCAGUGGGGAAUCUUGGACAAUGGGCGCAAGCCUGAUCCAGCCAUGCCGCGUGAGUGAAGAAGGCCUUAGGGUUGUAAAGCUCUUUUACCAGGGACGAUAAUGACGGUACCUGGAGAAUAAGCCCCGGCAAACUUCGUGCCAGCAGCCGCCGUAAC